AUAAGUAUAAUUAUUAACUUUUAAAUUAUAGUUGGAUUGGAGGGAGAAAAGUCGCAUUCAAAGAGUACACUUUAAUUUGUAUAGUGUUCCCUCCACCUUUUUAUUUUACCUCCCUUAAACUUUUAUGGAUUAGUUAUCAUCACUUUUGUCCUCCAUUAUCUUCAUAUUUCAAUCUUCUUAACUUAAACAAAUCUUCACCUUCUUCUUCUUCUUCUUCUCCUUUUUCUAGCAAGUACACACACAGAGUACUAACUGAACUUUUCGUCAGCUCGAGUUUGCUGUAUGCUGGACUUAGCUUAACUGAAACUGUAACUCUGUAAGCAGUAUUGCUGGGCUGCUGGCUAUUCAUGCCGUGUUUCCAUCUUGGUUGAUGAGUUGUGAUGGAAGAAUAUAGAAAACAUUCCACUGAGUUUCCUACCAUUACCAGAUUGACAUUGCUAAGAUCAUUAGCAAGGCUCUCAUGGUCUGAACUCUGUAAAAGGGACUUGAAAAUGUCCUUGGGAGCCAAAGGCACCAGAGAGAGGAGUAGAAGGGAGAUGAUGAUGAUCUAUUCAAGUUGCACAGGACAGGAACUUGUUAUGUGGCAUGUCAACACAACCGUCAUCUGCUAUUUGUAGUGACUGCGAAGUUGCUACGAUAUCCUCAUGCAUUGUGGAUA